GCUAAUGGUUUUGACUAUAAGGUCCGUUCAUUUGACAAGUACGACAUCAACGGGUAUCGCUUUCGUACCUAUGGCGAAGAACUAUCUAUGGCCGACCGAAAGUCUACAAAUUGUUGUGUAUCUGCUAUCGGCGAAGGAGGUACCGAGUAUUAUGGGAGAGUUGAAGCAAUUUAUGAACUUCUGUUCUAUGGUGAAAACCCACCGAAUGUCAUAGUCUUCAAAUGUUAUUGGUUUCAGCCGAAGGAGACUAGAAGGACUCAUGAACAUAUAGGGCUAGUUGAAAUCAACCAAAGCACCCAUUUAGAUGUUCCUGAUGUCUAUAUUAUGGCUCAACAGGCGACCCAAGUAUUCUAUCUACCGUGGGCCUGCCAAACUAAUCCAAAUCUGAAAGGUUGGGAUGUCGUUUAUGAAGUGCCGCCACGUGCUAGACUUUCUCCCCCAAAGGAAGAGGAUUAUGAACCUCACAUUAACCCAGACACAUAUGAAGGA
rnacentral:rRNA from 1 species